rnacentral:rRNA from 1 species
GUCGGAACGUGCCCAGAGGACGGGGAUAGCGGCAGGAAACUGCCGGUAAUACCCGAUGAUCUCGAGAGAGCAAAGGUGUGAUUCCGCCUUUGGAGCGGCCGACAUGGUAUUAGCUAGUUGGUGAGGUAACGGCCCACCAAGGCUGUGAUGCCUAGGGGAUGUGAGAGCAUGAUCCCCACCAUUGGGACUGAGACACUGCCCAGACACCUACGGGUGGCUGCAGUCGAGAAUCUUCGUCAAUGGGCGAAAGCCUGAACGAGCGACGCCGCGUGCGGGAUGAAGGCCCUUGGGUUGUAAACCGCUGUCGAGGGGGAUGAAGGCUUGAAGGUACUCCUUCAAGUUUGACAGAGCCCUGGAGGAAGCACGGGCUAAGUUCGUGCCAGCAGCCGCGGUAAUACGAACUGUGCGAACGUUAUUCGGAAUCACUGGGCUUACAGGGUGCGUAGGCGGCCGAACAAGUCAGGUGUGAAAGCCCUCGGCUCAACCGAGGAACUGCGCUUGAAACUGUUUGGCUC